UGCCAGACUCCUACGGGAGGCAGCAGUGAGGAAUAUUGGUCAAUGGGCGGGAGCCUGAACCAGCCAAGCCGCGUGAAGGAAGAAGGCGCCAGGCGUCGUAAACUUCUUUUGUCGGGGAACAAAGGGCGCCACGUGUGGCGUUGUGAGUGUACCCGAAGAAAAAGCAUCGGCUAACUCCGUGCCAGCAGCCGCGGUAAUACGGAGGAUGCGAGCGUUAUCCGGAUUUAUUGGGUUUAAAGGGUGCGCAGGCGGAGGUGCAAGUCAGCGGUCAAAUUGCGGGGCUCAACCCCGGACUGCCGUUGAAACUGCAUCCCUUGAGUGCGCGAGAAGUAUGCGGAAUGCGUGGGGUAGCGGUGAAAUGCAGAGAUAUCACGCAGAACUCCGAUUGCGAAGGCAGCAUACCGGCGCGCAACUGACGCUCAUGCACGAAAGCGUGGGUAUCGAACAGGAUUAGAUACCCUAGUA
rnacentral:rRNA from 1 species